UAUUGCACAAUGGGGGGAACCCUGAUGCAGCGACGCCGCGUGGGUGAAGGAGCGUUUCGGCGCGUAAAGCCCUAUCGGCAGGGAAGAAGGAGGACGGUACCUGACUAAGAAGCCCCGGCUAACUACGUGCCAGCAGCCGCGGUAAUACGUAGGGAGCAAGCGUUAUCCGGAAUUAUUGGGUGUAAAGGGUGCGUAAACGGGACAGCAAGUUAGUUGUGAAAGCCCUCGGCUUAACUGAGGAACUGCAACUAAAACUAUUGUUCUUGAGUGCAGGAGAGGAAAGCGGAAUUCCUAGUGUAGCGGUGAAAUGCGUAGAUAUUAGGAGGAACACCAGUGGCGAAGGCGGCUUUCUGGACUGUAACUGACGUUGAGGCACGAAAGUGUGGGGAGCAAACAGG
rnacentral:rRNA from 1 species